UACAGAGGUCUCAAGCGUUGUUCGGAUUCAUUGGGCGUAAAGGGUGCGUAGGCGGCGCGGUAAGUCGGGUGUGAAAUUUCGAGGCUUAACUUCGAAACUGCAUUCGAUACUGCCGUGCUUGAGGACUGGACGAGGAGACUGGAAUUUACGGUGUAGCGGUGAAAUGCGUAGAUAUCUGGAGGAAUACCGGUGGCGAAGGCGCAUCCUGGACCGACAUUGACGCUGAACGGCGAAGCUAGGGAGCAAACGGG
rnacentral:rRNA from 1 species